UCACUCUAUGAGGUUUUGAAGUUUGAUUGAAACGUAUACUGAAGAGUCACAUAGAUGAUAUUUUUAAGAAAUAGGAUUUGAUGGCAAUCUGUAUGCAAAGGAACUAAAGACGAGAGCCCCAGUUGGCAUGCUCAGGGAGCUACUUUGAGCAACUGUGCCCAGCACCUGGGAGGCAAAGAACUCUACAGAGGCCAGCAAGUCAACAUUCCACCAGGAACACUGUGGCUAGAGUUCAACAAAUUCAGCUGUGAUCUUUCCACACCCUCCAUCCAGGCUUGCACCCAAGCCCCUCCUUCUUCACUACUGAACAUUACACUGAAAUAACCCAGUCUCUCUUUUCAUCCUUCCCUAGUUGCUCCCUACUCUUCCCUCUUCCAUGCCUCCCAUCUGUAAGGCUCUCCACUGUGCCUUGAGAAACUCCUGUUUCUAUAAGGAACUAACUCCCUUUGGUCUACAAACAAUUCCCUGAGCAUUCCCCCCAAAUUAUUAACAAAUGAAAUUAUUAGCUUUCUUUCCAAACCUUAUUUCAUUAGACACCAACCUUAGAUCACCCCCUAAAUCAUCUAGACACCAACCUUGGGGUGAACA